CACAUGCAAGUCGAGCGGUAACAGGAGAAGCUUGCUUCUCGCUGACGAGCGGCGGACGGGUGAGUAAUACUUAGGAAUCUACCUAGUAGUGGGGGAUAGCACGGGGAAACUCGUAUUAAUACCGCAUACGACCUACGGGAGAAAGGGGGCAGUUUACUGCUCUCGCUAUUAGAUGAGCCUAAGUCGGAUUAGCUAGAUGGUGGGGUAAAGGCCUACCAUGGCGACGAUCUGUAGCUGGUCUGAGAGGAUGAUCAGCCACACCGGGACUGAGACACGGCCCGGACUCCUACGGGAGGCAGCAGUGGGGAAUAUUGGACAAUGGGGGAAACCCUGAUCCAGCCAUGCCGCGUGUGUGAAGAAGGCCUUUUGGUUGUAAAGCACUUUAAGCAGUGAAGAAGACUCCAUGGUUAAUACCCAUGGACGAUGACAUUAGCUGCAGAAUAAGCACCGGCUAACUCUGUGCCAGCAGCCGCGGUAAUACAGAGGGUGCAAGCGUUAAUCGGAAUUACUGGGCGUAAAGGGAGCGUAGGUGGCUCUAUAAGUCAGAUGUGAAAUCCCCGGGCUUAACCUGGGAACUGCAUCUGAAACUGUAGAGCUAGAGUAUGUGAGAGGAAGGUAGAAUUCCAGGUGUAGCGGUGAAAUGCGUAGAGAUCUGGAGGAAUACCGAUGGCGAAGGCAGCCUUCUGGCAUAAUACUGACACUGAGGCUCGAAAGCGUGGGUAGCAAACAGGAUUAGAUACCCUGGUAGUCCACGCCGUAAACGAUGUCUACUAGUCGUUGGGUCCCUUGAGGACUUAGUGACGCAGCUAACGCAAUAAGUAGACCGCCCUGGGGAGUACGGCCCGCAAG
rnacentral:rRNA from 1 species